UUUUCAUUUCUCUUUUAAUGAUCCCCUGUUCCCAUUUCCCUAUGCAAAAUUGCCUAGCCUACAAAAUCAGUACCUCAUUCCUCCAAAUAAUCACAACCCAAGUCUCUCUCCUUCCCCUGCUGCAACUGCUCCUCUGCGUGGCAGGCCAGGGAAGCCAGCCAGGACACCACAAUCCCCCAGAGGAGCUGGCUUGCCCUUCUGUAAUCAAAAGGGCACACUAAUUACAACCCUUGCCCAGAAAAAGAUGCACGAGGACUGCCAGUCAGAGAACCCUGGUGCAUCUAAAGCCACCAGCAGCAUUUUCCUCCCUUCCAGGAAGGGACCAACCUUUAAGCCCUCGCUAGAGCUUGUCAUCAGCCUAAAUAGGACUUCAAAGGGAAGGCGAGAAGGGAUGGCAGUCCCUCCUAACCCAAGGAGGAGACAGGGCAGAUACAUUUCCCCAGAGUCAGGCAGCACACAGGCCAGGGGAGACGCAGGGAUUACUCAGACUCUCUUUCACCCUCUCUCUCUCCUCUCCUCUCCUCCUCCUCUGCUGGGGGGUCCUAUGGAAAACCCACUGGAAAAGGAGGUGGGAAGUAAGCGACGUUGCCCUAAAGCUCUCCAACAUUAGACUGUAAGUGCAGGGGCACAUAUGUAUGUGUCUAAGAGCUCUGUGCUGCAUUCUUGCAACUGCAGCUACACUGAAGCAAAACCCUCAUUAAAACAAAGUGGAGACUGCGACCACAAAUACUGUGCCCCAUCCCUACUUCCACCCUGCUCUUGACAGACCGCUGUUAACCUCAGAGUUCAUUAAAACGGUAUUCCUUCGUGCUUUGCUAAUUUUCAGUUAUUUUCAGAACAGGCAAUAAACGUCUGCAGUGAACAUGCCUGGAGCUUACUUUGCAAACUCCUACAAACUCCUCUCACUCGCCAGCAGUGGAUACUCUUGCAAUGCCCAGUACUGCCGUGCUCUGCAGCAGAUCCCGUCCCUCUGCCUCCUUCCCUGGACUCUGCACGAACGGGUUGGGAGCUGUGUUUGUUCGUCUGUCCCAGCCGGGCUAGUCUGUUUGUCAGAUUUCCUGCAAGCAUUCAUGAUUAAGCAAGUAAUAACCUGUGAUGCAAAGAGGAACAAAACAGACUUGUAAAAUGGCACCGAGGUUAUUUGCAUUGUUACUGCAUUAGGAGCUGUGGCUCCAGUCCUGCAAAGACUGACGCCCAAGUCUUAAAGGUAGGUGCUGUGAGAAGUCCCCCUGGAGUCAGAAUAACACAGAGUGAGCAAAACUCUGCAAGGAUUAGCCAAAACAGGGCACGUGUGCUUUCAAACUGCAGUCCAUCUGGAGUAGGAGCAUUUUAAAAAAGUUGUUUGCACAUCUAACACCUUGAGCCACAAUCUUGACUUCAGUGUUUGGAUGCUUUCACAACACAGCAAUAAAAAAGAGUACCUGGAGAAUAAAUGUUGAAACCAA